AAAUUCUUUAUAAAUAGUUUCUAUAAACUUCAUUUGCUGAUAAAGGCCAAGUGGCUUUGCCUCCCUCUUCAUCAAUGUCUAUUCGGGAAAAUUGUUUCUACAUGUUUAUCCCAGCCUUGGCAUUUCAUCAAUAUUUGUUCAUAACAUGACAGUGAUCAUGAGGAUGCCCGAUAGCUUUAGGUUGGAACAUUAAUCUGUUCUCGUCUAAAGCAACUUCUUCCAACUGAGAUGAUCGCAAGAUUGCAUGACUCAUCUAUAUAAUUCUUUAGUAUAGUUGCCGCAAAUGAAAAGAAAAGCACCAAUUUGACCAUUCAACUAAAAGUUCACUUACUGGGAGAGAGAGACAGAUCUCAGUCUGGAUUACUACUGCAUAUUAAAGGAGAGAAAGAAGAAAGAAAGCAGAGGAACCCAUCGUUGGCACCAAACACAGAGAGAAGGCUUCCAGGCUUCCCUCAGUGACGGUUCCUGCAGUAGCGGUCGUUUUGGCAUCCGCGAGUGUAGGGAUUUCCACGCAUACUGGCUUGAACCGGCACUCUGUUCGCAUGCAAAGCUCUAUAACUUAUGGUGCCGGUCAGGAGAAUCCUCCUCCCGAUCUCAGAAUUCAUAGCCCACUCCUCCUCCACUCCAUCCCAGCUCCCCAUGGAACCAUUGCAAGCCUGGUGACCGGUUACCACAGCUCUGGCUCCAGCACAAGAGAUGAGAACAAGGAGUGCAACACAAACGAAACGAGCUUUCCCCAUUUCCACUCCCACUCCUUCCUGCUCUUCCUAACAAUACAAUGAACUAGCUGCUUUCAUCUCUACUGUUUACAUCCCUUUAUCCAAGAGCAAUGAAAGCGGCGUAUAACCGAACAAAAAAAGAAGAUUUUAGCCAUCCGUGACGAGAUAUACCCUACAACUCCUGCAGUCAAAUGGAACCAUCCACCAUCCGUCACAAGUUUAGACCCACAAUUGCUGGAAUGAUUAGGACUCCAACAAUUAUUGCCUCUCCGUGGGACAUGUUGAGUGCUUGAUUUCACAAGUAUGGGCAGUAAAUCGUACUGAGAGACGAUGAAACCAGAAAAUAAUUUUUGAAGACUUGUUACUGCUUGCUGCAUCGUGAAUCUAAUUUUCUUUUUUAAAAUGAAAAUAACAUCAGAUUUCAAGGCAGCAAGAGGCAAAGCGUCUCGCAGGCAUCAUGUUUCAAAAGGCCAUCGAUCGUUCUCCCACAAUUUUCUUUCGCUUUUUGGUUCUAUAAAUUCCACUCAUGACAAGCAAAUUAGAAUCCAACUACAAAUUUUUGCCUAAAGUAAUAUAACAAGAUGCAACAAUAAAACAUGGAACUCUGUUCGGCAUCUUUAGAUGGUGUUUCUUCUGCAGGGUUUGUAACCUUUGGCAAAACGUUUAGAGCAUGCAUGGGCUUCCUGCGUUUCUAUCAAAACGUGAAAGCAUCACUUUGAUUCAAGGGAAGUGUGAUGUACGUUCUACUUUAUCGUAAAUAAACAUAAAGAUGGAAGGGGAAGGGACAAGUAGAAAGUAAAGUUAAUAUGCAAAAAAUGAUUUCACGUUAGAGGCGAACAAUAAGUUAACUCUAUGUGAAAACAAUAGGUUAGUUUCAAUGAAAUAAUAGCGAGUAGGCAAUCUAAAACAACGAAAAAGCUCUCAACAAGAGAUGCGAAAAGAUUGGCUCUAUCUGUGUAAUUUUUGCUUCAAGCAUGAUGGUAACAGUUAUAAGAUAAAUUAAAGAAAUGAAAGAUGUAAAUUUGGUGGUAUUUUAAAAGAACUUGUGGCAGCUCUUGUCACCCUGCCACAAGUGAACAUCCUUUAAAUUUGCACCGGCUUAAGAAAGCAGGAGGACUUGUAAUGAGCAAAAAGCAUUGACGAAUGGACGUGCAUGGACAGAGAUAUAUGACAAGAAAAAUAAUAUUCACAAAUUUCAAGAAGCCGCCAAGAUUUUUGUUAUAAGAGAACAAGAGUAAUUUAAGUUUUGAAUCCAAUCAAAUGGCCAAAAAGUAUAGCUCGAUGAAGUUGAUGAGAAAAUGUACCUCAAAAUUCGAAAUGACUGCAAAUUGAAUUUGGCUCAAGUUUGCUUGAAAAAGUCUGUGCCAACUGAAUGGGGCUGACCCCUAGCAUCUAGGAGUCGACUCAAGAAAAUCUGUGCCAACUGAAUGGGGCCGACCCCUAGCAUCUAGGAGUCGACUCAUGUGAAGCUUGAGUCGACCCCAGGGAUGAGAAGGUCGACUCGCUAUAUGCCACAGUGAAGAAACAGAUAGUUAUUUUUGGGGUUGCUUGUAUGAGUCGACUCCAGGUUGAAGAAGUCGACUCUCUCAGGAAGACAGAGCGUGCCAGUUUUCGGUGCUGAUACUUGGAGUUGACCCGAGGAUGUUCGAGUUGACUCGAACUUAUCAGGAGUCGACCCCUGAAAGUGAAGAGUCGACUCCUGAUCACGGGAUUGAUUCAAACGGUGGCAAGAUGGGCUUUUGACUUAGGAUUUCGUUAGGGAAGUCUCCUUAUGUUUUGGAAAUCUAAAAAUAGGGUUCUUUUGUGAACCCUAGGAGCGGCAGACAGUUUCUUUUUGAGUCCUAUCUCUCUUGUAAACCCUAGAAGGUUUAGAUUUUUCUUGUAAGCCCUAGUUGUGCAAUCUCCAACGGAGAAGAGAGAUCGUUAUAACCCUUGCUGAAUAUAUUGAAUUUGUGUGUGUGGCCUCCGUGGACGUAACCUGUAUUGGGGUGAACCAUGUAAAAUUGUUGUCUUUGUGAUUGUUUGAUUUUAUUCUCUACUACUUCUUCUUGAUUCGUCUUUCCGCAGUUUAGAUCCAGAAAAGGAAAUAGUACGAUCAAAGGGUAAGUGCUUUUAUCCGCAACAACUGGUAUCAUAGCUACGUUCCCUGUGUUUCAAUGGCUGACGAAGGAAGAUUGAGGAUAGAGAAAUUCAAUGGACAGAACUUUGGUGUGUGGAAAAUGCAGAUGGAGGAUUACUUGCUCUCAAAGGAUCUGGAUCUACCACUGGGUGGAGAAGAAGCGAAGCCGACAGACAUGCCGUCGGAGAAGUGGGAGCGUCUUGAUAAGAAGGCACUCGCCGCUAUCCGUUUGUCCUUGGCAUCGGAGAUUCUUGCCAAUAUAUCCAAAGUGAAGACUGCAAAAGAUUUGAUGGACACACUGGCUUCCAUGUAUGAUGAGCCAACAGGAGCAAACAAGGUAUUCCUGAUUCGACGAUUAUUCACUUUGAAGAUGAGAGACAGUGGGAGUGUUCAUUCACAUCUGAGUGAAUUCGAUACCCUAUGUGCCCAAUUGGAAUCUAUGAAGAUCACGUUCACUGAUGAGGUGAAGGCGUGGGCUCUUCUAAGUCAGAUGCCUGAAAGUUGGGAAGGCUUCAUCAUGGCUGUUAGUAAUUCUUCGGGAAAGACUGCAGCAAGGUUUGAUAAAGUGGUAGCUCUUAUUUUGAGUGAAGAAGCUCGAAGAAAAACUUUGGAUCCAUCAGCGAGUUCAUUUAGGAAUGCGCAGGCUUUUGAAGAACGUGAAAGGACUUCAAAAAAGGGAUACAGAAAUAGGGGUGGACGAUCCAAGUCUAGAAACAAGUCUAGACCUCUUGGAAAGUGCUGGAAUUGUGGGCAGAAGGGUCACUUGAGAAAAGACUGCAAAGUGCCGAAGAACAACGGUAGUUUUGACACUAAAGCAAGUGUUAAUCUAGCCGAAACUGCAAGUGAAGACGAUGCCCUGAUACUUUUCGGUGAUGUUCAUCCGGAGUCGUGGAUAGUCGACUCAAGUGCCUCGUCCCACGCUACUGGGAACAAGGCAAUCAUCUCAAACUAUGUUGCAGGUGAUCACGAUAAGGUGUAUCUUGGUGAUGGAAACAGUUGCAACAUCGUAGGAAAGAGAGAUGCUCAGAUAAAGACAUCAAGUAGGAUGACUUAACUCUGAGAGAUGUGCGACAUGUACCCAAACUGGCUUGAAAUCUGAUUUCGGUAAGUCAGUUGUCGGAUUUGGAAUUUGUGACCACCUUCAAUGAUGAUGCUUGGAAGAUCACUAAGGGAGCAUUGGUAAUCGCUCGAGGUGCAAGGUCGGGAACGCUAUACAUAACCGCUGAUACUGAUUCCACCGUCAGUGCUGAAACUUGUGGAUUUGGAAUUCUGUGAAGAUUGUGUACUGUCAAAGUAGAAGAAGGUCAGUUUUUCAAAAGGAGGUAGUACCAAGAAAAAUUUUAAGUUGGAACUCGUACAUACUGACGUGUGGGGGCCAACUCAAGCAGCUUCUCAUGGAGGAGCAAGGUAUUAUGUCACGUUCAUCGAUGACGCUACCUGAUAGCUAUGGGUCUACAUCUUGAAGCACAAAUUCGAUAUAUUUGAGAAGUUCAAGAGGUGGAAGGCUAUGGUGGAGAAUGAGACAGGUUAGAGAUUGAAGUGUCUCAAGUCUGACAAUGGGGGCGAAUACUGCAGUGAUAAGUUUGAGGCUUAUUGUGCCUCAGCUGGAAUUCGAAGACUGAAGACGGUUCCAGGAAUGCCAUAGCAAAAUGCUUUUGCAGAACGCAUGAACUGCAUCAUCAACGAGCGGACACGGUGCAUGAAGCUUCAUGCGGGGUUGCCGAAGAUUUUUUGGGCGGAAGCGGUCAGUACAGCAGUGUAUCUGAUCAACAGAGGGCCUGUGAUUGUAUUGGAGCUUGGACUGCUAGAGGAAGUAUGGACUGCGAAAGAGGUGAAAUUAUCUCACUUGCGUACUUUUGGUUGCAUCUCUUACGUGCUUCAUACUGUAGAUAAUCGAACCAAGAUGGAUGCAAAGUCAAAGAAGUGCACAUUCAUUAGGUACGGUGGUGAUGACUUUGGAUACCGGUUCUAGUAUGCGACAGAUCGAAAAGUCAUCAAGAGCAGAAAAGCUGUAAAAUCGAAAUACGCAGAGCUGGAUAAUGAAAUAAUAUCUCGAGACGAUGAAGAAGUUACUGAGCCAGUGGGAGAAGUACAGCAAGAAGAAGAACCGCCAGCUGAAGGCGUCUGUUUCGCUUUGGGUUCGGGGCAUAACAGAUUUAGUGGCAUCAAAGCUGGUAUGCCUAGGGAAUAAGCAUUGAACAUUGAUCAAUAGUAAACCCCCAAUGAUUGUCCUCUCAUUGCUUUUAAAAGAACUCUGAGGAACUUUUUUUUUUCUGCUCCUCUUUUUCGUUUUCUUUUAACUUAUUUCUUGUCAUUUUUUGACCCACUAAUUUAAGUCACAAACUGGUGGGUGGUGACUUUUUCUUUAAUAUUCCGUCGGUAGCCUGCUAUGAGUGGAUUAUUCCAGGGACUUAUCUAGCCAUAAUUUCCCGAAACCAAUUUGCACUUAAUUGUUAGAGCUAAACUUUCUUAAGUCGGUCAAUUAUUAUUUGUUAUCAUAAUUAUUAUGUGGUCGAAAAGACACAUUUUUUUCAGAACCGAUGAUUAUUUAGUAUACCUAAUUUUGUAAAUUGUAUAAGAUUUCUAUUUCAUUAAUCCUGAGGAAAAAUUUGUCUGUGUGGCAGCCGAAGCCAAUCUGCUCAACCAUUUUUGCUAUGAAGAGGCUAGAUAAUAAUGUUCUGUUGCGCAAUAAAAGUUAAUUUUAAAUGGCCACAAAUUUCUGAAUGUAUUUUAAACUUUUAAUAGAGCAUUUACGAAGGUAGCCAGGCAAGUUAAUGCUUUUAAAUUCUGGCAUAAGAACUUUUUUUUGGGCAUGCUAUUUGUUUGAAGCCAUGUAGAUAAGUAUCAGCAAGUCACCAGUUACAUGGUCCACCAAAGUUCCCCAAAGUAGAUUCUGAGAAGCCCAUCUAAUCUAAAUUGUUGGAAGACCAUGCAAACAAAUUGCAUUAAUAACUCUGAAGGUGCCUGGCUUCCGAAAUAUAUUUUUUAAUAAAAUUGAAUUUCGAGUUUUGUUUCAUUUUACUUAUUUUAUGUAUAUCUUCUCCUAAAUAUACAUCUUGUGGGCAUUUUUUUUCCAGAGCGGCUAUGUUUUAAGAGUGAAGAGGUUUGAUUUCUAUAUGCUCCCAUUUGAAGCAGAGAGUUGCAACAUUGCAAGAGGUUCAACAAAUUCCAUUAUCCAUCUUUUGUAGCAAUCCGUAAAUCAGGGAGCCUCUUAUUCAAGCUUAGAAGCUCCAUAAACUGGUUAUUUAAAAAAAAAAUAAGAUAUAUAAAUAAAUCUAUCUUAUCUUCUAAGUUUAAGUUUUUGGGACAAGUGAUGAUUUUAAAAUGGUAUCAAAACAGAAGUGUUAGGCUCACCCAUUAAUAAGGCUGCAAAUGGGUCGGGUCGACCCGUGACCCGACCCGACCUGCUUAGACCCGACGGGUCGACCCGACCCGACCCGACCUGCUUAGAUCCGACCCGAUCCAAAUUUUAGGAAUCGCGGGUCCAGGUCGGAUCCUAAAAUUGGAUCCGAAUUAUUUUCUGUGUCAGGUUUGAAUUUACCGAAAGGAUCCGACCCGAUCCGAACGAAUCCGAAGAGAAAGAGAGAGAGAGGAAAACCAAAAAAAGGCCUCUUCUUUUUCUUUUUCUUUUUUGUGGGUGGGUGUGGUACUAUUGGUCGUUUUUAAGUGAAUUUAUGGCGGGUUUUCAAGGCAAACAGGAAGAAGAUAUUGGUUUCUUAGGAGCUUGUUAGCUUGCUCCCAUGGCCUUAUUAUUCAAGGGAUGGGAAAUGCCAGCCAAUGAGGAGGAAAAGCUUUGUAUCAAAAAAAAAAAGAAAAAAAAAAGAAAGGGGGAGGAAAAGCCCUAAGGGCAGUAGGGUUCAAGCGUGGAAGGAUAGUAACAAGCAUGGGUUCACAGAAUCCAAAGGAACCUCGGCCCGUCAGGAUUCUCUCACGAUCUAUUACACUGUUGAUACCUCUGGUGUCUCGGUAGCUGGCUUUUUUUUUUAUUUUCCUUCUGUUUUUUGGUUUUUGUUUCUUUUAACUUUUGAAGGGUGAAAGUGAGGGAACGCUGAACUAAAUAUGGAUCAUGUGCCAGUUUUCUGCAAUGGAAUUGGAUUUUGGAAGCAGGUCUGGGAUUUUUUUUGUCCUCCUGAGAGGGGAGCAGGGAGACACCAAGUUCCGUCCAAUCAGUCAUAUAGAGACAAAUUAGUGUGAUAUGAAAUUUGUCUUGUAGACCGACUUUGUUAGUACGUAAUGGGUCAGCUGUUCUGACUGGAGGUCAAUUGCAAGUCUUUUAAGUCAUGGGUCACCCAGCACCUCAUAAUUAUGACCAAAUUAGAUUUGUUCAAAUUUUUUCCGAAAAGCACCAAAAAAAAAGUAGUAACAUCUGAUCCUCCGGAUUCGACUCGGAUCCGAUCCCGAUCCAGACCCGACACAGAUUCGGACCCGACACAGAUCCGGACCCGACUCGGAUUCGACCCGAUCUUUAACCGGGUUGGGUCUGGAUCCAAAAUUAGAAUCCGACAAAAAAUCGGGUCGGAUCGGAAUCACUCAGAACCCGAUCCGAUCCGACUCAUUUGCAUCCCUAUCUUUUAAAGAAAAGUCUGGCCCACAUGUAACAAGAAGUGUAAGAAAAAAUAUAAUAUAUAAAUGAAAUCGCUUAAACUUUUGAGGUUAGUGGUAAUUUUAACAGAUUAUUUAGACAAUCCAUCACACUGGUCAUUUCAAUGCCUCUCCGAUAUUCUGCAGGGAGGCGACAUGGCUCAUUGUAUGUGAGAUCUCCUUUAUAGAACAGUUAUUUGGAACUCGCGCAUCCAUUCUGGUGGGAAAUUGUUUGACUGACCCAUCCAUUUGCUAUAUAUGCCCAAAUGGAGUGUCAAUUCUUUUUUCUAGCCAACUGCUGAUUGUUAUAAAGUAAUGGGUCUCCCUACUCCGGAAAAAAAAAAACAAUGGAUCUCUCCAUCUUUCCAGCUUAGAUGAGGUAGGAUGGUUAUUAGCUCAUCGUGGUCUCAACAUAUAAAGUAAUGGGUCGGCUGGUUGGCCUACUGUGCACAAGUGCUCUGGAAAACGACUAUGGUUGCUGUCUAUUGGAGAAAAUUUUAAGAAAAUCAAGUUCUAUUUAUUGUGUCUUCCAGAAAAUUUUAUCAACCUUCUUUAGUUAGAAGCAUUUGUGUUCAAAGAAGCUACUUGACCCUCAUCUCAAAUUUGGAAAUAACCUUUUAGAGCAUUGGCACCAUAUGUUGAGAGAUGAUGAUCUAUCUUUUUGGAAAAAUGCUAACUUACAUCAAGAUGCAGAGCUUAUAUAGUUGCACAUUGAAGAUACAGAAAUCCUUCAAAUCUUUUAUGAGAUUGUUCAACUUGUUGAAUAGUUUAACAAGCCUACUUACAGACUACUACUUUUUGUAAAAGCUUUCUAUUAUUUUUUUUAUAUUUUUUUUUCUUGCAAAUCCUUUAUAAAUAGUUUCAAUAAACUUCAUUUUGCUAAUAAAGGCCAGGUGGCUUUGCCUCCCUCUUCAUCAAUGUCUAUUGGAGAAAAUUGUUUCCACAUGUUUAUCCUAGCCUUGGCAUUUCAUCAAUAUUUGUUCAUAACAUGAGAGUGAUCAUGAGGAUGCCCGAUAGCUUUAGGUUGGAACAUUAAUCUGUUCUCGUCUAAAGCAACUUCUUCCAACUGAGAUGAUCGCAAGAUUGCAUGACUCAUCCAUAUAAUUCUUUAGUAAAGUGGCUGCAAAUGAAAAGAAAAGCACCAAUUUGACCAUUCAACUAAAAAUUCACUUACUGAGAGAGAGAGAGAGAGAGAGAGAUCUCAGUCUCGAUUACUACCAAAUAUUAAAGGAGAGAGAAGAAAGAAAGCAGAGGAACCCGUCGGUGGCAUCAAACACAGAGAGAAGGCUUCCAGACUUCCAUCAAUGCCUGCAGUAGUAUUGAGCUGGGCAUCCGCGAGUGUAGGGAUUUCCACGCUGACUGGUUUGAAGCGCCGCUCUGUCCGGAUCCAAAGCUUUAUAACCUAUGAAGCCGGACGUGGUGGUCUGGAGAAGCCUCCUCCCGAUCUCCGAAUCCAGAGCCCACUCCUCCACUCCAUGGCACCUCCCCAUGGGACCACUGCAAGCCUGGGGACCGAUUACUGCAGCUCUGGUUGCAGCACAAGAAAUGAGAAAAAGGAGUGCAACACACACGAAACGAGCUUUGCCCGUUUCCACUCCCAUUCUUUCCGCUAGCUUUUUAUCAUCUAUACUGCAUCCAUC
rnacentral:lncRNA from 1 species